GCCACCGUGGCUCAAUUGGCAGAGCACCGCAUUCGUAAUGCGGGGGUUAGGGGUUCAACUCCCCUCGGUGGCU
rnacentral:tRNA from 1 species